rnacentral:rRNA from 1 species
UACGAAGGGGGCUAGCGUUGCUCGGAAUCACUGGGCGUAAAGGGCGCGUAGGCGGCCAUUCAAGUCAGAGGUGAAAGCCCAAGGCUCAACCUUGGAAUUGCCUUUGAUACUGUUUGGCUUGAGACCGGAAGAGGUUAGUGGAACUGCGAGUGUAGAGGUGAAAUUCGUAGAUAUUCGCAAGAACACCAGUGGCGAAGGCGGCUCACUGGCCCGAUACUGACGCUGAGGUGCGAAAGCGUGGGGAGCAAACAGG